rnacentral:rRNA from 1 species
CCUACGGGAGGCAGCAGUGGGGAAUAUUGGACAAUGGGCGAAAGCCUGAUCCAGCCAUGCCGCGUGUGUGAAGAAGGCCUUCGGGUUGUAAAGCACUUUCAGUGGGGAAGAAAGCCUUGGGGCUAAUACCCUCGAGGAAGGACAUCACCCACAGAAGAAGCACCGGCUAACUCCGUGCCAGCAGCCGCGGUAAUACGGAGGGUGCGAGCGUUAAUCGGAAUUACUGGGCGUAAAGCGCGCGUAGGCGGUCUGAUAAGCCGGUUGUGAAAGCCCCGGGCUCAACCUGGGAACGGCAUCCGGAACUGUCAGGCUAGAGUGCAGGAGAGGAAGGUAGAAUUCCCGGUGUAGCGGUGAAAUGCGUAGAGAUCGGAAGGAAUACCAGUGGCGAAGGCGACCUUCUGGACUGACACUGACGCUGAGGUGCGAAAGCGUGGGUAGCAAACAGGAUUAGAUACCCCGGUAGUC